ACGCAGGAAUCUUAGACCAACCCAAACCCGUGCAACUGCAAGUUUCGCCCGGUCUUUCCGGGUCUAGAGAGACAAACAGAUGUACUGAGACUGACUCCACGACUGGUCUACUGGCGGGUGCUAGUAACACUCACUUUGCUUCGUAGCGGAGCACAUGAGCGGUGGGAACACCCCCGUGGUAACACGGACCCACCGGGCCAAAAGCCACGCCUCACGGCCUCAUGUGUGUGCAACCCCAGCACGGCAAAUUGUUUGUGAAACACAUCUUAAGGUAACACUGGGACUGGUACUUAGUUUCUGGAGACAGGCUAAGGAUGCCCUUCAGGUACCCCGAGGUAACAAGAGACACUCGGGAUCUGAGAAGGGGACUGGAAGUUCUUUAAAACUGUCCAGUUUAAAAAGCUUCUAUGCCUGAAUAGGUGACCGGAGGCCGGCACCUUUUCCUUUUAUCCAACACAUUU
rnacentral:other from 22 species